rnacentral:rRNA from 1 species
AGUGAACGCUGGCGGUAGGCCUAACACAUGCAAGUCGAACGGCAGCACAGUAAGAGCUUGCUCUUACGGGUGGCGAGUGGCGGACGGGUGAGGAAUACAUCGGAAUCUACUUUUUCGUGGGGGAUAACGUAGGGAAACUUGCGCUAAUACCGCAUACGACCUACGGGUGAAAGCAGGGGAUCUUCGGACCUUGCGCGAUUGAAUGAGCCGAUGUCGGACUAGCUAGUUGGCGGGGUAAAGGCCCACCAAGGCGACGAUCCGUAGCUGGUCUGAGAGGAUGAUCAGCCACACUGGAACUGAGACACGGUCCAGACUCCUACGGGAGGCAGCAGUGGGGAAUAUUGGACAAUGGGCGCAAGCCUGAUCCAGCCAUACCGCGUGGGUGAAGAAGGCCUUCGGGUUGUAAAGCCCUUUUGUUGGGAAAGAAAAGCAGCAGGUUAAUACCCCGCUGUUCUGACGGUACCCAAAGAAUAAGCACCGGCUAACUUCGUG